GAUGAAGAACGUAGCGAAAUGCGAUACGUAAUGUGAAUUGCAGAAUUCAGUGAAUCAUCGAAUCUUUGAACGCAUAUUGCGCUCUCUGGUAUUCCGGAGAGCAUGCUUGUUUGAGUAUCAGUAAACACCUCAACUCCCUUUUCUUUUUUGAAAUUGGAGCUGGACUUGAGUGAUCCCAACGCUUUCUUCCAAGAAAGUGGCGGGUUGCUUGAAAUGCAGGUGCAGCUGAACUUUUCUCUGAGCUAUAAGCAUAUCUAUUUAGUCUGCCUAAAAAACAGAUUAUUACCUUUGCUGCAGCUAACAUAAAGGAGACUAGUUCUUGUGCUGACUGAUGCAGGAUUCACAGAGACAGCUUCGGCUGACUUUGUAAACUCGAUCUCAAAUCAAGUAAGACUACCCGCUGAACUUAAGCAUAUCAAUAAGCGAGGA
rnacentral:misc_RNA from 1 species